rnacentral:lncRNA from 1 species
AGUCCCGCUGCAGACGCGCGCUCGCUCCGUCGGUGCCCACUAGAAGAGGCGGCUUCCUGUGUGAGGUCGCCCACAUUCCAGGCCAACAUGAACAGCUGAUUUGGAUACCAUCAAGACACCUGAAAUUUUAGCAUGAGCCAGAUGCCAAGGAAGAGACUCCGGGAGGAUCCUGAGGACCCCCCGGUUGCAGCCAUGUCGAGGCUGAUGCUGAGGAGGACCCCAACUGUCACGAGAAACACCCGUCGAACACAGCCACCCAGCUGGAGACAGAUCAAGAAGCUGUCACAGAUGAUGGAAGAAAACCUGAGGAAAGCGGGACAACCACUCAGAAUGAGUAAUGGUAGCUAUGAUAGUGGUAAUCACCAUUGCCGUGAGUAUUCCUUAAAGAAGGGCUGACACAGAGAACAAUUAUACUUAUUAGGCAUAUUCAUCAAUCUUGGCUGGCAAUAAUGCCUGGAUGUAAUCACUCUAUGACACAGUUACAUGUGCUUUCUGAUCUCAGUAUUUACCAUAACAAAUCUCCUCCUAUAAUUGAGGCAUACUGCCCUCAAAAACCUAUCUGUAACAAAAUUGAACCUGGCCAGAAAAAAUGAACAUACUUGUUUAGGAAGAUUGCAUUGCAGAACAGGCAGAGGUGCUGCACAACGAUUCCUAUGGAAUCAUUAUUAAUUGGUCCCCUAAAGGGAUGUUUAGCUUAAAUUGCACCAACAGGCCCCCCCGCAAAACCUGGCCAUAAACUGGCCCCGAAACUGACCAUGAACAAUAUCUCUGUGGCACUGUGACAUGUUCAUGAUGGCCAUGACGCCCACGCUGGAAGGUUGUGGGUUUACUGGAAUGAGGGCAAGGAACACCUUGCCCACCCAGGGCGGAAAACCACUUAAAGGCGUUUUUAAACCACAAACAACCGCAUGAGUGAUCUGUGCCUUAAGGACAUGCUCCUGCUGCAGAUAAGUAGCCAUACCCAUGCCUUUAUUUCAGCCCAUCCCUUUGCUUCCCAUAAGGGAUACUUUUAGUUAAUCUAAAAUCUAUAGAAACAAUGCUAAUGUUAAUAAAUACGUGGGUAAAUCUCUGUUUGAGGCUCUCAGCUCUGAAGGCUGUGAGACCCCUGAUUUCCCACUUCACACUUCUAUAUUUCUGUGUCUUUAAUUCCUCUAGCACCGCUGGGUUAGAGUUUCCCUGACUGAGCUGGUCUUGGCAUGAUUCUCCUGCCUCAGCCUCCCAAAUAGCUGGGAUUACAGGCAUGCACCACCAUGCCUUGUUAAUUUUUGUGUUUUUAGUAGAGAUGGGGUUUUACCAUGUUAGCCAGGCUGGUCUCGAACUCCUAGCUUCAAGAGAUCUUCCUGCCUCGGCCUCCCAAAGUGCUGGGAUUACAGGCAUGAGCCACUGUGCCCAGCCUGUUUUUAAUUUUUAUUUUCAAUUAAAAAAAUGUUUAUUGAGACAGAGUCUCACUCUGUCACCCAGGCUGGAGUGCAGUAGAGCAAUAAUGGCUCACUGCCACCUCGAACUCCCAGACUCAAACGAUCCUCCCACCUUAGCCUUUCGAGUAGCUGGAACCACAAGCAUGUGUUAUCAUGCCCAGUGAAUUUUUCUUUUCCUUUUUUUUUUUUUGUAGAGACAUGAGUCUCGCUAUGCUGCCCAGGCUGGUCUCAAACUCCUGGACUCAAGCAAUCCUCCUGCCUCAGCCUCCCAAAGUGCUGGGAUUACAAUUGUGAGCACCACACACUGCCAUAUUCCUGUUUUACAGAUGAGCCACUGAGGGGUUAAAGGGCUCCCCCAAAUUCCACAAGGUCAUGUACAGCAGAGCUGAGAUGUGAAUAUAAGUAGCCUGGCUUCAGGUCCCUCUCCUCAACUACAAACAAUGGGGAUCUCUCCUGGCCCUUGGUGGGCAUGGUAGGCAUGCAUGGGGUUCCUGCCUAGCCCAUAUACACUUCUUUUCUGAGAAAUGUUCCUCCUCACUGGGAGGGUCAAGGCAGCCAUGUCCAUGACACGUGGCCUCAUCUGCAAGGUCACAGCUGAUUGGAUGAGGCUAGCUCCUUCCAGCUGAUGCCCCCAUUGGCCUUGUCCCAGGAGUCUGUUGCUCACAACUAAAUAGGUCUUGGCCACAAGGGCGGGGAAGACAGAAAGUGACCCUUCUUGCCUGCUCAUGAGGGCAGGGACUUGAGGUGCCUGGGUGAGGAUUUUCAUGCCAGCCUGACUCCUCACCUUUCCCCUCUGUAGACUUAGAUCAGGGUUUGAUUCAGGGCCAGCCAUUCAUUCGCUGUGUGUCCUUGGGCAAGUUAAUGAGCUUUUCUGAGCGUUAGCUCUACUCACUUGGGAAAUGACGACAAUAAUAGCACCUAGCCCUGAGAGUUGGGGCUUUCAGCACCUGGUACGUGCUGAGGGGCCAGGACAUCGGAGCUGCCACAAUGAUGAAGGCAAUCUGGGUGGCCGAGGCUGCAGGCUGGCCCUCCCUUGCCCCUAGAUGGUUGUGUGCAGGACUCAUGGAUGGAGACCUGGCCCCAGUUCCUCCCAGCUGGUCCACAAUGUCUCCCUAAACCACUACCACCUACAGAUUUCUCUUCCUCACAACAUAGAUUACAGAGGUCUGUACAGUUACUGAUGGUGGAAAAGGCAGUGUAGACAGGAGCUAGAACAAAGUGGCAGGCAGGAGUCUAGGCUUGAAUCCUUUCUCUCCAGCUGUGGGCCCUGGGCAGAUCACUACUCUCUGGACUGAAAUGAGAUCUUCACCCCUACCACAGCCCCCUCACCUCCCCAGCUCUUAUGGAGAUUAAAUAGAGUAAUGCUUGGUGGCUUAUGCUUGUAAUCCCAGCACUUUGCAAGGCAGGCAGAUCAUGAGGUCAAGAGAUCAAGACCAUCCUGGCCAACAUGGUGAAACUCCGUCUCUACUAAAAAUACAAAAAUUGGCUGGGCAUGGUGGUGCCCGCCUGUAGUCCCAGCUACUUGGGAGGCUGAGGCAGGAGAAUCACUUCAACCCAGAAGGUGGAGGUUGCAGUGAGCCGAGAUUGCACCACUGCACUCCAGCCUGGCAAUGGAGUGAGACCCCGUCUCAAAAAAAAAAAAAAAAAAAAGAAAGCAUAUAAUAGGUGCUCAAUACAUGGUAAGAUCAAGUUUUUUAAAAACAUUAUUUUUUUAAUUUUUAGAAAUAGGGUCUUGCUCUGUCAAGCAGGCUGGAGUGUGGUGGCACGAUCAUCGCUCGCUGCAGCCUCAAAUUCCUGGGCUCAAGCAAUCCUCCCACCUCAGCUUCCCAAGUGGUGGGACUAUAGGUACGUGCUACCAUACUCAGCUAAUUAAAAAAAAAAAACUUUAGUUUUGGUAGAGACGGGGUCUCACUAUGUUGCCCAGGCCGGUCUCAAACUCCUAGGCUCAAGUGAUCCUCCUGCCUUGGCCUUCCAAAGUGCUAGGAUUACAGAUGUGGGCCACCAUGCCUUGCUGAUGGUAAGAUAUUAAUAGCGUUGUAGUACUAGCCAACAUAUAGGAUCAAAUAUAAGUCAGAUGCCAUCCUUCCCUUGCACUAGACCCUCCAUGGCUUCCAUCUCACUCAGAGCAAAAGCCAAGUGCUCAGAGAGCCUACAAGGCCUUAUGCAAGGGUCUAGCUGCCUUCCCCUGCCUCCCUACUCCCUCUCUGACCCACAUGUUACUUCUCUGCCCAUUCUUCACACCACUCUGGCCACCCUGGGCUCCUCACUAUUUCCUGAACAUGCCAGGCAAUCCUGCCUCAGGGCCUUUGCACUUGCUGUUCCCUCUGCUGGAUAUGCCAUUCCUUCAGACCCUCACGUGGCUCCCCACUCCCUCCCUUUGUUCAAAUGUCACUGUCCCAGGGAGGCCUUCCCUGACUCGUUAAAUGCCACCCCACUCCACAAUCUUUGUCCUGCUUCCCAGCCUCACUCCUCUCCUUAGCGCUCAUCCAACAUACUAUCUUUUUUAAAAGAUUUAUUAUUAUUACUUUUUUGACUCAGGGUCUCACUCUGUGUCCAGUGUGGAGUGCAGUGGCAUGAUCCUAGCUCACUGCAGUCUAGACUUCCUUGGGCUCAGGUGAUCCUCCCAUCUCAGCCUCCUGAGUAGCUGGGACUAUAAGUGCAUGCCACCAUGCCUGGCUAAUUUUUAUAUUUUGAGAGAGAUGACAAGAUGUCUUGUCAUGUUGCUCAGGCUGGUUUCAAACUCCUGGGCUCGAGUGAUCUACCCACCUCGGCCUCCCAAAGUGCUGGGAUUACAGGUGUGAGCCACUACACCUGGCCCAUCCAAUAUACUAUCUAUAUUUCACUCAUUCAUUGUGUUUCUUGAUGGUGUCCCCGACCAGGAUGCAAGUUCCAUGAGGGCAGGGUCUUUCUGCUGUUUCUUCCCUCGGUAUCCUCAGUGCCUGGCACAGAGCGGUCACUGCAGAUAUGUGUAGAGAGGACGAACAUAGUACUUACCACAUUCCAGGCACUGCUUUAAGUUUCUUAGAAAUAUUCACUCACUGGACGGGUGCAGUGGCUCAUGCCUGUAAUCCCAAAACUUUGGGAAGCUGAGGUAGGCAGAUCAUGAGGUCAGGAGUUUGAGAUCAGCCUGACCAACAUGGCG